rnacentral:rRNA from 1 species
GACGAACGCUGGCGGCGUGCUUAACACAUGCAAGUCGAACGGAAAGGCCCUGCUUUUGUGGGGUGCUCGAGUGGCGAACGGGUGAGUAACACGUGAGUAACCUGCCCUUGACUUUGGGAUAACUUCAGGAAACUGGGGCUAAUACCGGAUAGGAGCUCCUGCUGCAUGGUGGGGGUUGGAAAGUUUCGGCGGUUGGGGAUGGACUCGCGGCUUAUCAGCUUGUUGGUGGGGUAGUGGCUUACCAAGGCUUUGACGGGUAGCCGGCCUGAGAGGGUGACCGGCCAAAUUGGGACUGAGAUACGGCCCAGACUCCUACGGGAGGAAGUAGUGGGGAAUAUUGCACAAUGGGAGGAAGCCUGAUGCAGCAACGCCGCGUGCGGGAUGACGGCCUUCGGGUUGUAAACCGCUUUCGCCUGUGACGAAGCGUGAGUGACGGUAAUGGGUAAAGAAGCACCGGCUAACUACGUG